UACGGAGGGAGCUAGCGUUGUUCGGAAUUACUGGGCGUAAAGCGCACGUAGGCGGCUUUGUAAGUUAGAGGUGAAAGCCUGGAGCUCAACUCCAGAAUAGCCUUUAAGACUGCAUCGCUUGAAUCCAGGAGAGGUGAGUGGAAUUCCGAGUGUAGAGGUGAAAUUCGUAGAUAUUCGGAAGAACACCAGUGGCGAAGGCGGCUCACUGGACUGGUAUUGACGCUGAGG
rnacentral:rRNA from 1 species